AGCACAAUGAGCAUGUCAUGGAUUCUUCUAGUUGGGAUACUGGGGCUCUUUACUGAAGACUCUCAUCAAGAGGUCCAGUCUCCUGAAUCUCUGUCUGCUAAAGCAGAUGAAUCUGUCACUAUUAGUUGUACAGGGACUGAUGGAGUGGGUAAUGACAUGAGCUGGUAUCUGUUUAAACCUGAAGAAGCUCCUAAACUCCUGAUCUAUGAUGGAAGUAACUUGGAGUCUGGAGUUCCAGAUCGCUUCAGUGGAAGUGGAUCUGAGCCUCAUUUUACACUGACCAUAACAGGAGUUCAGCCUGAGGAUGCAGGAGAUUAUUACUGUAUGGGGGUUUAUGAAGGUCCAGUAUUCACACAGUGA